rnacentral:rRNA from 1 species
UACGUAGGGUGCAAGCGUUGUCCGGAAUUAUUGGGCGUAAAGGGUGCGUAGGCGGUGCGGUAAGUCUGUAGUGAAAUCUCUGGGCUCAACUCAGAGUCUGCUAUAGAAACUGCCGUGCUUGAGUGUGGGAGAGGUGAGUGGAAUUCCCGGUGUAGCGGUGAAAUGCGUAGAUAUCGGAAGGAACACCUGUGGCGAAAGCGGCUCACUGGACCAUUACUGACGCUGAUGCACGAAAGCUAGGGGGAGCAAACAGG